rnacentral:tRNA from 1 species
GUUUCCGUAGUUCAAUGGAUAGAAUAAUGGUCUCCGAAGCCGUUGAUAUGAGUUCGAAUCUCAUCGGAAGCACUA